AGUUUUGCACAGUGGCAGUAUCGUAGCCAAUGAGGUUAAUCCGAGGCGCGAUUAUUGCUAAUUGAAUAAUUCAUUGUAAGUUAGGGCUUUUUUCUGUGGGAAUGCAGUGAAAUAGACUUCUGGAACCUUUGUGGAAAC